UACGUAGGGUGCAAGCGUUGUCCGGAAUUAUUGGGCGUAAAGAGCUCGUAGGCGGUCUGUCGCGUCGGCUGUGAAAUCCCGGAGCUCAACUCCGGGUCUGCAGUCGAUACGGGCAAACUGGAGUACUACAGGGGAGAUUGGAAUUCCUGGUGUAGCGGUGAAAUGCGCAGAUAUCAGGAGGAACACCGGUGGCGAAGGCGGGUCUCUGGGCAGUAACUGACGCUGAGGAGCGAAAGCGUGGGGAGCGAACAGG
rnacentral:rRNA from 1 species